rnacentral:rRNA from 1 species
UAAAGCGUCUGCAGGUGGUUUCUUAAGUCUGCUGUUAAAUCUUGAGGCUCAACCUCAAAUCUGCAGUAGAAACUAGGAGACUUGAGUAUAGUAGGGGUAGAGGGAAUUUCCAGUGGAGCGGUGAAAUGCGUAGAUAUUGGAAAGAACACCGAUGGCGAAGGCACUCUACUGGGCUAUUACUGACACUCAGAGACGAAAGCUAGGGGAGCAAAUGGGAUUAGAUACCCCAGUAGUCCUAGCCGUAAACGAUGGAUACUCGAUGUUGGACGUAUCGACCCGUUCAGUAUCUUAGCUAACGCGUUAAGUAUCCCGCCUGGGGAGUACGCUCGCAAGGGUGAAACUCAAAGGAAUUGACGGGGGCCCGCACAAGCGGUGGAGGAUGUGGUUUAAUUCGAUGCAACGCGAAGAACCUUACCAGGGUUUGCUAGAAGUGUUGGUUUCCUGAAAAGGAUUCCUUAUUCCGCUUCUACAGGUGGUGCAUGGCUGUCGUCAGCUCGUGUCGUGAGAUGUUGGGUUAAGUCCCGCAACGAGCGCAACCCUUAUUUUUAGUUCUAUUGUCUAGAAAGACUGCCGGUGACAAACCGGAGGAAGGUGAGGACGACGUCAAGUCAUCAUGCCCCUUACACCCUGGGCUACACACGUCCUACAAUGGGUAAGACAAUAAGUUGCAAAUCUGCGAGGAUAAGCUAAUCUUUGAAACUUACUCCAAGUACAGAUUGCAGGCUGCAACUCGCCUGCAUGAAGGUGGAAUCGCUAGUAAUCGCUGGU